rnacentral:rRNA from 1 species
GCUGAACUUAAGCAUAUCAAUAAGCGGAGGAAAAGAAACCAACAGGGAUUGCCCUAGUAACGGCGAGUGAAGCGGCAACAGCUCAAAUUUGAAAUCUGGCGUCUUUGGCGUCCGAGUUGUAAUUUGCAGAGGGCGCUUUGGCAUUGGCAGCGGUCCAAGUUCCUUGGAACAGGACGUCACAGAGGGUGAGAAUCCCGUACGUGGUCGCUAGCCUUUACCGUGUAAAGCCCCUUCGACGAGUCGAGUUGUUUGGGAAUGCAGCUCUAAAUGGGAGGUAAAUUUCUUCUAAAGCUAAAUACUGGCCAGAGACCGAUAGCGCACAAGUAGAGUGAUCGAAAGAUGAAAAGCACUUUGGAAAGAGAGUUAAAAAGCACGUGAAAUUGUUGAAAGGGAAGCGCUUGCAGCCAGACUUGCCUGUAGUUGCUCAUCCGGGUUUUUACCCGGUGCACUCUUCUACGGGCAGGCCAGCAUCAGUUUGGGCGGUUGGAUAAAGGUCUCUGUCAUGUACCUCCUCUCGGGGAGAUCUUAUAGGGGAGACGACAUGCAACCAGCCUGGACUGAGGUCCGCGCAUCUGCUAGGA